UGGGGAAUAUUGCACAAUGGGCGCAAGCCUGAUGCAGCCAUGCCGCGUGUGUGAAGAAGGCCUUCGGGUUGUAAAGCACUUUCAGCGAGGAGGAAGGUGGUGGACUUAAUACGUUCAUCAAUUGACGUUACUCGCAGAAGAAGCACCGGCUAACUCCGUGCCAGCAGCCGCGGUAAUACGGAGGGUGCAAGCGUUAAUCGGAAUUACUGGGCGUAAAAGCGCACGCAGGCGGUUUGUUAAGUCAGAUGUGAAAUCCCCGGGCUCAACCUGGGAACUGCAUUUGAAAACCGGCAAGCUAGAGUCUCGUAGAGGGGGGUAGAAUUCCAGGUGUAGCGGUGAAAUGCGUAGAGAUCUGGAGGAAUACCGGUGGCGAAGGCGGCCCCCUGGACGAAGACUGACGCUCAGGUGCGAAAAGCGUGGGGAGCAAAACAGGAUUAGAUACCCUGGUAGUCCACGCUGUAAAACGAUGUCGAUUUUGGAGGUUGUGCCCUUGAGGCGUGGCUUCCGGAGCUAACGCGUUAAAAUCGACCG
rnacentral:rRNA from 1 species